rnacentral:lncRNA from 1 species
GCGUGGCUUCCCCGUGGCGUGCCCGCCCACCCCGCGCUACCCUAUAAAUAGGCCCCGGCGGGUUGUGGUAGCCUCUCUCUCGGCCGUCGCCAUCUUGUGGGCGCUUGGUGGCCGCCUCCAUCCGCUUCCAUCUGCCGCCCGCGCCGCCGCCCGCCCGCGGGGACUGAGCGCGGCGCCCCCGCGCCGCCAUGAGGGCCAAGUGGCGAAAGAAGCGUAUGCGCAGGCUGAAGCGCAAGAGAAGGAAGAUGAGGCAGCGCCUGG